GCCCCCUCCAGUCAAUCAGUUCACAUUGAAUAAAUGAACGAAUGACAUUUAUUCUCUCACACUCAGAGACGCGUCACAUUAUGCACCCGAACUCAAUCCUUUUAGGGGCCCGAGAGGACAUUGUUGCCAUGGUAACCGCUCUCACCACAGAUGCCUCCCUGUGAAGUUUGGAGGGACGGUUGGGAUCUGGAACAUAAAGCGUGAGGGCCAUCUCGGUGGGCUGGUAAACGUGACUGCGGAACGGCACAGCGGGACGUAUCAGUCCGUUAUGAUAACCUCCAGUCUGCA